rnacentral:rRNA from 1 species
UACGUAGGGGGCUAGCGUUGUCCGGAAUCAUUGGGCGUAAAGAGCGUGUAGGCGGCCCGGUAAGUCCGCUGUGAAAGUCGGGGGCUCAACCCUCGAAUGCCGGUGGAUACUGUCGGGCUAGAGUGCGGAAGAGGCGAGUGGAAUUCCUGGUGUAGCGGUGAAAUGCGCAGAUAUCAGGAGGAACACCUAUUGCGAAGGCAGCUCGCUGGGACGUUACUGACGCUGGAGACGCGAAAGCGUGGGGAGCAAACAGG